UGCCCCCACCCCCACCAGCCAACACAGCAAACCACAGUCCUUACUCACUAUCUGCAGCACCAUGUGAUGCUGUUCUGGGCAUAGUAGAUAAAAGAAGUACAUCAACAGAAAAAGGAAAUAAGGGGCAUUAGCUUGUCUCUUGCUUUAUUUUUUUCUACAUUGCCUCUUUGAUUUGAAUGAAACUACGCACUUGCAUGCACAUUUUGGGCAAAUUAAGCCAAGCUUUUCCCUGCUUACAUAUUUAUUUCUUAAUAUGACUAUUUUUGUUUUAAAAUUUGGUUUACUCUCAAUAUGGCUGACUUCUUCAAACAAAUGAGCAAUUUAUCAACUCUUGGAUAUUUUAUUUUGGAAUUACAUUUUAAUCAAAAAUAAAAUUUAGUUUCCCUUUAAAAUAGGAGAUUUUUUUGAGGAAAAGAAAACCAUGGUUGUCUGUUGUUGCUACUGCCACUGUCAUAAAUGUUUUUGUCAAAUUCACUUGGACUGAAGAAAGUGUCCAGACAUGUGAUUAAACCCUUUCACUUAUAGUAUGCUCAAUCAAUCCAAAGUCUACCUCUUUAAGUGAUAUUUUGGUCUGAAUUUGUGCCUAGAAUAUUUAUUUAUUUAUUGGUUAUUUUUGUACUAAGAGAACCCAGUUUUGAAUAUAUACGUAUGUAAUUUUUGCUUUCAGUUUUUCUAACCCCAGGCUUAUGUUUGUAUUGUGGUUCUAGCCCCAACCACCAACUCCUCAGAGCACCGUCUGGAAAAGUGACUCUUACAAGUUGUGAAAGCCUUCAGGUUUUCCUUUGUAAAGCGUUUAACUGUGACCCACCCCUCCUCUCUUCCCUCCCCCUAUCCAAGGCUUCAUGAUGUCUUGCCUGCUGGCUUAACAUGUAGUUGUCUUUUUAUUUUUUAUAUACCAGUCACAACUCAGGGAGAGGAGGGGAAAGCAAAACCUUGAAGGAUGGAGCUCAAAAUUCAAAGCAGCCACAGGGAAUUCCAAGGCAAGAGCACAAGGCAAACAAGCUGAGGUACCAGCUUCUUCUAUGAAAAAAGCCAUUUAAGUACAUUUCACAAAACCAACACCAAUAAAAUGCAAAUGCAUUAUACCACAAGCCUAUAGUUCUGUAAACUUUUCAAAUCUUAAUAGGCUGCUCAUUUCUGGUCUGAGAGUUUUCAGCACUUCUUUCGAAUGUGGGCUGUAACAGGAGGUAAAAACUGACAUAACGAAGUGUCAUGUAUUGCAGAAACCUU